CAGAUUUUGAAAAUCAAAUUUUCGCUUCUAAAGGGCUUUGAAAAUGGGAAAUCCUGCACUUUGUUUUAUAUGAUUGUCACAACAUGAACUUUUGAUAUAUUACAUAUAUCCACAUAUGGGAUCGUUUAAUGCUUACUAAUUAAUUUAUCAGGUGGGGGGUGUGGUUACACUCACCUCUGUGUGGUCUAUAUAAAUCGUUUUGUAAUUCACUUGUAUUCACACUUGAAAAAGGACAUAUGCUGUCCGAAACAUGUUGUGUGGAAAAUAAAAGAGCAUAUCAGCAGUAA